AGGUGUUGGGAGGGGAGCGGGAAGUGGCUGAGUCAGCAGCUGUGGGUUCAGAGCCUGGUGCGUCCAAGGACCAGGCACGGCCCCCUUCUCUCUCUUACCCACACUCAUAGUUUUCCUAUAAACAGAGGGCACUUCUGUGCCAGGAGGAGUGAGAAUGGGCACGGCCUCUGGGUAUCUUCCUGGGCAAACUGUCUCCCCUCGCCCAGGGCCGGUCCCCCAGGGGUCCAGGCACUGGGUCCCUUGAUGCCAACACCUCUACUUCUCUAAUGUCCUGGUGGUACGUGGUCCCCAGCCGUGCUCAUUCCUUGGGCAGGCCCAGUGUGUCUGUUUAUACCGCGGGAUCCAGUGAGGAGUUUACGGUAAGGAAACCACUAGGGGAGUUACUUCCCUCCCCUGCGCCUUGUCCAGCUCCUUUGGGCCUCUCCCCCCGCUUCUCCCACAUGGCCAGAGUUCAUGGAAACUUCUCAGGUCAGUGAUUCUCACCUUCCUUUCCUCCUCGGGAGAGAGGGGCCCAACCCCCCCCCCCAACUCUGGAGCCUGGCACCUUCCUUCCCUCAAAGUCCUGCUUUCCUCGGCGAUGGCAUGCCAUGGGGAGGAGGGGCAGGCGUGGGGCUGGACCCAGGGCAGAGCCUCAACCCCAUGGCCUCACCCGCAUCUUCUGGCACCAUCUGCUGGAUGAGAAGAUGUGUCUCUUGCUUCCUGUGAUCUUAGAGGUGAGCCUGGGAAGCAGGAGGUGAAGCAGAGAGAGACUGGGGCGCCUUUGCCCCAAAGUGAGGGAGGACAGCGGUGCUGAAACAAAAAGGGAGAAGGACCCCAAACCAGCCCACCACUCCAUCAAUUCAUAGAUGCUGUUAGAUCGGCAUCCCCUCUGAGGAGCCCAUAAUGUGCUGUGUGGUAGGGGUGGGGGGAGAUUUGAGGGAGGCUGAGGGAGGCUCGAGGCGCUUCCUGAAGUGGAGUAGGACUCCGCCCCUCCCUGACCACAGGCAGUUGGGGCUGCUCUGGCUGAGGCUCGGUGGGGCUGUGCCCUGCUUGUCUGUCUGUCUGGGUGGUGUCCUCAUCUGGGGUCCAGGGCAGGCGGUGCUGUGCGUGGGGCAAGAGGGGACUGAGCCCACCGGCCUCAGCACCGGUGCGUGGGCGUCACCUGAGGAUGCUCUGUCUGUCGGGAACCAUCGCUCCUCGCCGGGCCAGAGCAAGAAAGAAGAGCGGCGCUCGCCCCUGCAGGCCGGGGAGGGGUGCCAGGGGCUGAGGGACCGCAGACCAGGCCUCUCCGCCCCCCACAUCCGAUCUGCCUCACCGCCCAAGCGGCACAGAUUAUUUUUGCUCCUUCAGACUCUGCCAGGGCCUUUGCCCCAUCUCCAGGAGUUACUCAGUUACCAGCAUCGGUUUUCUAUUUCCAGAGCAAGGCAGGCCCUCCCCUCCUGGCUUCCUUCACCCAGGCCCUGGCAUUUCCUCUGCAUCCAGCCCCGGGAGGGGUCCAAGGGCAGGGGAUUCCUCAUCUCCAAUGGAAGAGGAAGGGGCAUCUGAGGGAGGACCAACCCCCUUCCCCUUCACACCUUCUCUCUCCGGCUUCCUCCUGGAAUGUUUCCAUCCGUACAGGGAUGGGUCUUCUAAAAAUCCCUCUACCACACCCACACCAGGGGCAAGGCGGGGGGGGGGGGGGUGCAUGACACUCGCUGCUUCUACUUCCUCCCCGGCCGUCCCCGCUUCACUCCACCCCAGCCUGGCUUCUGCCCCACCACCAUUCAUAUUAAAUUCACCAAACUCUUGCCUCAGGUGUCCCCUCUCUCAUCGGCUUUAACUCACCCUGAAGCCCUCCCUUCUCCAGGCUUCCCCACAUGGUGCUGUCCUGGUUUUCUUCCUGCCUCGCUGGUGGCUUCAAAGAGAUUCUAGUGCCAGUGCCCUUGGACUUGGUCUUGGGCUCUUCUCUCCAUGCCUCCACGGCUGUAGACACCACACACAUGGUGGCAAGUCCACAUUUCUAACUGGCCCCUUUCUUCUCUUUGAGGUCUGAUUUUCAGAGGCAGGUGCCACGUGGCAUUUCUACUUGAGGUCUCCGGACGUUUUGAAAUUCGCCUGUCCCGACAAGAACUCUUGAUUCUCACUGCUACCUACCCCACCAGGCUUGCCUAUAUCACCUCCACCUUCCUAGUUGCUAAGGACUGUGGUCCUUAAUUCCUCCUCACAUUCCACACCCAUUACAUCAUCAGGUCCAGCAAACUCUGCCUCUAAAGCGUACCUCUAAUCCCACCACUUCUCUCAAUUGUCACAACCUCCCCAGCUUUUUCUAAAUUACCCUCCUCUCCUUACCUGGAACCUAUGGUGGCCUCAUGACUGGUCUCCCUGCUCCCAGCUUGAGGUUCCUCCAUUUCAACCUCCGUGAAGCAUAAGAAUCAUCAUUCAGACCAUAGCAGACUUUCCCCACAGCCUUUCCUUUCAGCCUGCCCGUGUCUGUGUGUGUGUACGUGUGUUCAGAACGUUACUGCGGCCUCUCAGGCAGGCCCUGAGUGAUUCUGGACUUUUCCCAGAUCCCUAGCUUCAUCUUCUGCCCUCCUUACUGGCCGGGCACUCGGCUCUUUCAGUUCCUAAUGGUCAAAGUUCUUUUCCUGCCUCAGGACCGAGAACUUCCACUCCCCCGCCACCUGCUCCCUACUCCCCCAGCAGCUGGCCCCAUCCUCAUCCUUCAGGUUGGCCUGAGUGUCAUGUCCUCAGAAAGGCUUUCUGCACUGUCCUGUCCACACUAGCCCUCCCAGGUCUCAGCUGCCAGAGCCAGGUCAGUCUGUGGGGCUGGAGGAGGGGAGGGGAGGGGAAGUCUCUCCGGGACAAUGCUCCCUGCAAGAAGGAACAGAGCACAAACUUCCAGCGGCCUCUUUACACCCAGGCCCAGGGGAUCUGCCUAGACGCAGGAUGGAACAGGGCGUCAGCACGUGUUCAGGGGUGUCCUGGUCUCACCAGCCUCUCCCAGUGACAUUAAACAUAUUGUGUAGUGACCUCAAUCCCCCAGAGGCUUCCAAGGCCUGGGGAAUACAAGCAGAGUGGAGAAGGGGCUGGCGAAAUGCUUGUGCCACCCUGACCCCCUCCCAUCCCAAGGGUCUCCGAUCCUUCCAACUCUGGGGCUGCAGGCAAGCUCACAUCCCUUUGCUUGGAAACCCCAGAUCUCAUAGCCUUUCAGAUCAGGUUGGGCUCCAAGAGGGCAUCCUUGCCCUCCUCUUCCCUCCAGGAAGGCCAGGCUCCUGUGACAUCAGAGAUACAUGGGAAGGAAAGGCUGCACAGCCUAUCUUGUUCACCCUCCCCAGGGUCUUCCAUGCCUAAGGAGUAGAAACUCCUUCCCAUUUUUGUCCCUCCCACUGGCAUUUGUGGCAAGUUACAUGGAGUCCAGGUCUCUGAGAACCAAGAUGACCUUGUUUCAGCUAAUUCUUUUUCUGUCUUUCCAAUUCCCCAUGGCUCUAUCUAUUUUCCUUUGUGUCUCUGUGUUGCUUCCCAAUUAAUUAAUAAUUUUCAAGGAGAUGUAGCUUGGGUGUGGGGAAUCCCCUCCUUGUGUCCUCACGGGACUGACACGUAGGAUUUUCCAGCAUCGGGUCCAACACCUAAUGAAUGAGUCCAGAGACACACUUUACACAUUUUCCUAUUUACAUAUGGUCUGAUUCCUAGGGCUGCUUCCCACAUGUGCAAACACACACAUAGUCACACAUACGCACACUUACGCAUACACAUUCUCUCAGCCAUGCUUGCACGUACAUUCACACACAUACGCUAGCACAUGGUUGCCAUCCAUCUAUCUAUCCUAUAACAGGAGGCGUUGGUGUGUCAGGAAGGGGCCCACUGUCACUGACACCUGUGGGAGAAUUCAUCCUUGGGCCCUUUGUUGAACAAACAUCAUGAUGGGCCAUUUGAGUCCUGGAAGGCAGUCCUCCUCGAAUGGGAUAGGCUUGGACUGAGACAAAGAGAGAAUCAACAGGAAUUUGUGGGUGAGGGCUGUUUAGCUUAGAAGGCACUUGGAUGAGGAAGGAGCCACAACAUCGUAGGAAGCUCGAGCCCAAGUAGAAGACAAUUCCCCAGGACAGGAAUGUGGGGGAAAGGAACAGCUGGAAGACUUUUAAGGACAGAGUUCUAGUAGUCAACAUUAGGAGAUAUUCUGUUAUAUGGCAGAGAACAGCCCCUCUGUUCCUUCCACAUCCACAGGGAAAGUUGGCUGCAUCCACUGACUUUGGUGAGUGAUGUUUGGGAGAAAUCAAGGAAAAUGGACUGAAUUAGACGCUUGAAUCCAUGCAGGUGGAGAGUGGAAAUGUCCACAGGAGGCAAGAUAUAAAAGAGAAAAUCCCACAGAAGCAUGAACUUAGAGCCAGAAAUGACUGGGGUGGCCAGGGUGGGGUGGGGGGACAUUGGGCAAGCCCCCUUCCCAUCCCAAACAUUCCUAGAGAUAUUGGGAGGGACCCUGGAUUUCCCACCAUCUGUGGGAUGAACGUUUGAGUUGAUAUCUCAUCUCAAAGAACAAAUGACCCAAGUUGAGUCCCAUGGAAACGCACAUAUUAAAACGUGUGUGUUCACACUCACAUAAGAGUUUCUUUCCCCUUGAUAGAGCAUGAAUGAGGCAGUGAUUUGGCAAGUACCAGGUUAACUUUAUAAAUGAAGACAGCCAAACCAGAAUAUUUAGGUUCAAAAAGCUACUACUGGCCUGAAUGAUCUGGUUUGGCCUUCUUGACUUAGCAAAUUAACCAGAAAAUUGCCAAAGCCCUGCGCUUGUGCUGGACAGACACAGUUUUAGCGUGGCCUGUAUCCUUAUAGAUACAUAGAUAUCUCUCCACACACGAUUAAGUAGAUCUCUCCACGUUAUUACAUCUAAUUUAUAUUUGCAACCAACUCGAUGAUUGUCCCAGAUUGGUCCAGAACCAAUCUUUCAUAGAGGGCUGGAUUUCUACAGCUGCCUAGCAUGUGACUGAACCAUGGGUAUAAAACACUGAAAAAGUAGGACACGCUAAACAAAGAAAAGACCAUGAUGGAUUGCUUCUGUUCUUGUUAUUGUUUUCAUUCUCUAUUAAUGUGUGUCCGAAAAUGAGAUGACAUUUACUGUUAGCCUAAAUUGCACAUAAUUGGCAAAGAAAGCCUGCUUUUAUAAAAGAACCCCCAAAUCAAAGCACCAAAUAGGAAAGUUCUUAAAGAAAUAGGAAGAGGACAGGUAUAACGGAAGCCUUUUGAGUCAAAAGAGAGAUUUGCAUUUUCACCUUAGUUUUGCUAGGGACUUGUUUUGAAAACUUGUCAGUGUCACCAUCUGUACCAUGAUGGAGUAGGUGUAGGUGCUUUUGAGAAGUCCCUUCCAGCUCUACAAUGCUGAGACUCCCCAAGAACAUCUAACUCAUGUGGGUCAUCAGGUGUUUGUGAGAAUGGUCUGAUAUGGUGGACAUAGUAGGCCUCAAAUUUUAACGUGAGUAUUAAAAUGUGAAUCACGUGAGGAUCUUGUUAAAAUGCUGAUUCUGAUUCACUAAGUCUGGGUUUGAAAUUUCUUAUUUCUAAUAAGCUCCCGGGGUAGGCCUAUGCUGCUGGUUCGAAGACCACACUUUGAGAAGCAAAGGCACUAAACCUCCUGGGUCUGACGUGAGAAGUCCCAGGUCUGUCUCCAGUUUCUUGUCUUUGCUGAGCCUCAGUUUCCUCUUUUGCAAAGUAAAAACAGUCUUAAAUACAUACUCCCAGAGUUUGUCAUGAGGCUCAUAGGAGAGAACAUAUUUUUGAUAGAGUGUCUUACAAAUGUUCGUUAUUAUUGUUUUGGGGUGGCAGAGCUUCACCUUCAAAGACUUCCGAGUGCUGCUGUCAUGGCGGGUGGACCGAUGGGGUGAUAGCAGCCAGCAUCCCUGCAUCCUUGCAUCGGUUCCACAGCGCGCUCACGUGAAGCCUUUUCCCUGGAAGCUGUUAUUUGCAGAGCCAGAUGCUCUGUGUUUCUCCCUCUUUCCCCCGAUUGCCGGUCUGCUUGUUCUCCUGGCCCGUGACCCAGAGAGGCCACAUGGCUUCCAGCUGUGCUGGGGCAUCCGGAACACAUUCCUCCUCCCCUCCACCCUUCCACCCGUCCUCCCCGCGCCCCCUCUCGUGAACUCUCCCUUUAGCUCGCUAUGUGCUCAGGGCUGGCCCAGGCAGAACUCUGCACUAUGCGGUUUUAACUCCCUGUUUCUCCCUUAGGCAGCCAGUGCCCUCAUGUCCUCAUGCCUUCAGCUCACUCCACCCAACCCACCCCAUCAAAUCCUCACGUUGGGAAAGCACCUGAUUCUCGAAUUCAGGGUUAGCAAUGGCUGAUAACACUUAGGGUGACCUCUCCUUAGAGGACAAAGCCAGGAUGCGGUUAGAACCACAAGGGAACAGUUCAGGCCUCAGUGCCUGGAAAGGGUGUCUUUGGAAGGGGUCAGGAGGCCUCUCUACUACCUCUGAAAUCCUAGACUUCGGUGUCCUGCAUCUGUCAGCCUUGCAGUGUUCCAUUUUCAGCCAGAAACAUUCCAACCUUGCGGUAUUCUUGAUCUUACUCCUGACCCGCAUGGGUGUUUGUGAAAGCCGAGACCACCUCCUUUGAUUUCAUAGACUGAUGUGAAAACCUGGCAGGUCCAGGCUUCUUCACCACAUAGAAGCUUUGACACAGAUGUCAUGAUGAACCAGGGGUUUCUAACCUGCUUCCCCCCUCGACAGCCUUGUCAGUCGGUGGUCACGUGUGGGACAAAAUCUCCUCCAGGUGCCCUGGGUGAUGAAUACGAACCCCCCGCAUCCCCGCCCCAGGUAUAACUCUACCCUUUUCACUCUUAUUCAGACCAGUCUCAUGCAAGUAAGGAAGAAGAAUAUUAUUAUAAGGUAACUUUAAUUUACUCUGAUUAUUAUUAUUUUUUAAGUAUGGGGUUUCUAAACUUUGGUGCUUUAUUUAACAUCAAGAACAAAUAGUGACCUCGGAUAGCUGUCCAUGGACUCUGUUUGCUCCAAUAUUGGGGCCACGGACUGCCUGCUCAAGAAGAGGAUUUGAUUUUAUGUAACAAACUCACUGAAUAUCUAUUUUGUGCCAGGCUGCCAGCCUUUGAAGAUACAAAGAUAAAUAAGACAUGGGCACUGCAUAGCCAGCUGGAGAGGGGAGGGAGAGCUGUCUCCCCUAAGGACGUGCUAUUCUUUCAGGCUUUUGUCGUAUCUACGCCGCCUCUAGUUGCCAUGAGGCUGUUUCUGCCACCUUUUUUUUUUUUCUUUCUUUUUUCUUCCUAAAUGAAUCUUGCUAUUUUAUUUUCUUUAAGUGUGUCAAGUUCAGUAAUCUUCUCAGAAACCAGCUUUUGAGUUUGUCCAUUAUUGUCUGUCUCUGGAUUUCUUAAUUUUGCUUUUAUUUUUAUGUUUCUACUUUCUUUGAAUAUUCUCUUGAUUUGUUAAAUCGAAUAUGUAACUGAUUAACAUUCAGUCUUUUUUUAUUAUCAAUAUAUUUUAAACUAUACAUUUUCCGAUAGAGUGUUUUCACUGCACCCACAAAUUUUGAGGCGUACUGUUUUUAUUAUUUAGUUAUACUUUUCAUAGCUGUAAUUAUUUUUCUUUGGCCUAUAAAUGAUUUCUGAGAGCAUUUGAAGUUUGCCAAAUAAAAAUCUUGUUUGUAUUUUUGAAA